AUGGCUUUCGUAAUUACUGCGGUCCUUUUAUUAUUAUCUCUCCCUGUUUUAGCAGGAGCUAUUACUAUACUCUUAACUGAUCGAAAUUUAAAUACCUCAUUUUUUGACCCAGCCGGAGGAGGUGAUCCUAUUUUAUACCAACACUUAUUUUGAUUUUUUGGCCACCCAGAAGUUUAUAUUCUUAUUUUACCAGGAUUUGGAAUAAUUUCCCAUAUUAUUAGAAAUGAAAGAGGGAAAAAGGAAACCUUUGGAACAUUAGGUAUAAUUUAUGCAAUAUUAGCUAUUGGUCUUCUUGGAUUUAUUGUUUGAGCUCAUCACAUAUUUACUGUAGGAAUAGAUGUUGACACACGAGCCUACUUUACCUCAGCAACUAUAAUUAUUGCCGUACCAACAGGAAUUAAAAUUUUUAGUUGAUUAGCUACAAUUCAUGGAUAUCAAUUAACAUACUCUCCUUCUUUAUUAUGAACAUUAGGGUUUAUUUUUUUAUUUACUGUUGGGGGACUAACAGGAGUUAUUCUUGCUAAUUCUUCUGUUGAUAUUAUUCUUCAUGAUACAUAUUAUGUAGUAGCACAUUUUCACUAUGUAUUAUCUAUAGGAGCUGUAUUUGCUAUUAUAGGAGGAUUUGUACACUGAUACCCAUUAUUUACAGGAUUAACUUUAAACUCUUAUCUUUUAAAAAUUCAAUUUUCUACAAUAUUUUUAGGAGUAAAUUUAACAUUUUUCCCUCAACAUUUCUUAGGAUUAGCAGGAAUGCCUCGACGUUAUUCUGAUUAUCCAGAUGCAUAUACUUCUUGAAAUAUUGUUUCUUCUAUUGGUUCUACAAUUUCAUUGGUAGGAAUUCUAUUUUUUAUUUAUAUUAUCUGAAAUAGUAUAACAUCCUAUAACCAAAUUAUUUAUCCAAUUCAACUAAAUUCUUCUAUUGAAUGAUAUCAAAAUAUUCCACCUGCUGAACAUUCUUAUUCAGAAUUACCUCUUCUAUAUAAUUUCUAAUAUGGCAGAUUAGUGCAAUGAAUUUAAGCUUCAUAUAUAAAGAAUAUUCUUUUAUUAGAAAUAUCAAUGGCAACAUGAUCAAAUUUAAAUUUACAAGAUAGAGCUUCACCUUUAAUAGAACAACUUACAUUCUUUCAUGAUCAUGCUCUAUUAAUUCUUAUUAUAAUUACUAUUUUAAUUGGAUAUUUAAUAUAUAUACUAUUUUUUAAUUAUUAUACAAAUCGUUAUUUACUAUCUGGUCAAAUAAUUGAAAUCAUUUGAACAAUUAUACCUACAAUUAUUUUAUUAUUUAUUGCAUUUCCAUCUCUUCGAUUACUAUAUCUUUUAGAUGAAGUUAAUAAUCCAACUAUUACAUUAAAAACUAUUGGGCAUCAAUGAUACUGAAGUUAUGAAUACUCUGAUUUUAAUAAUUUAGAAUUUGACUCUUACAUAAUUCCUAUUAAUGAAAUUCGAAUUAUUAUUUCUGCCACAGAUGUUCUUCACUCAUGAACAAUUCCAGCCUUAGGGGUAAAAGUAGACGCCUCUCCUGGUCGAUUAAAUCAAACUAAUUUUUAUAUUUACCGACCCGGUUUAUUUUAUGGCCAAUGUUCUGAAAUUUGCGGAGCCAAUCAUAGUUUUAUACCUAUUGUUAUUGAAUCAACAAUUCCAAAAACAUUUAUUCAAUGAAUUAAAAAUAAUAUUUCAUUAGAUAACUUAAAGUAAGUAAUGGUCUCUUAAACCACAAUAUAGUAAUUAACGAAUACUUCUAAUGAUUAAAAAAUUAGUUAAAAUUAUAACAUUAGCUUGUCAAACUAAAAUUAUUUAUAUAAAUAUUUUUUAAUUCCACAAAUAGCCCCAUUAAUAUGAUUAACCUUAUUUAUUUUUUUUUUAUUUAUAUAUUUAUUAUUUAAUAUUAUAAAUUACUUUUCUUUUACAUUAGAAAAUAUAAAUAAAAAUACAAAUAAAUCUUUAAAUAAAUCUCAAUAUAAUUGAAAAUGAUAAGUAACCUUUUUUCAGUAUUUGACCCCUCUACCACAAUUAUAAAUUUUUCAUUAAAUUGAAUUAGAACUAUUUUAGGUAUUAUUUUUAUUCCUAUUAGAUUUUGAUUCAUUCCUUCUCGUUAUCACAUUUUAUGAAAUAAAAUUACUAUAACUCUUAAUAAUGAAUUUAAUACUUUACUUGGAGAAAAUAAGCAUCAAGGAAGAACUUUUUUAUUUAUUUCUUUAUUUUCUAUUAUUUUAUUUAAUAAUUUUUUAGGAUUAUUUCCUUAUAUUUUUACUUCAUCUAGUCAUUUAACUUUAACACUUUCUUUAGCUCUUCCUUUAUGAUUAAGUUUUAUAUUAUUUGGAUGAAUUAAUCACAUACAACACAUAUUUGCUCAUCUUGUACCCCAAGGAACUCCUUCAGUUUUAAUACCUUUUAUAGUGGUAAUUGAAACAAUUAGAAAUAUUAUUCGUCCAGGAACUCUAGCUGUUCGACUAAUAGCAAAUAUAAUUGCAGGUCAUCUAUUAAUAACUUUAUUAGGAAAUACAGGGCCUUCACUCUCAUAUUACCUUAUUUCAUUUCUACUAAUUACCCAAAUUGCACUUUUAGUAUUAGAAUCAGCUGUUGCUAUAAUUCAAUCUUAUGUAUUUGCUGUCUUAAGAACUUUAUACUCUAGAGAAGUAAUUUAAUUUAA